GAUGAACGCUGGCGGUGUGCCUAAUACAUGCAAGUCGAGCGAACGGACGAGAAGCUUGCUUCUCUGAUGUUACCGGCGGACGGGUGAGUAACACGUGGAUAACCUACCUAUAAGACUGGGAUAACUUCGGGAAACCGGAGCUAAUACCGGAUAAUAUUUUGAACCGCAUGGUUCAAAAGUGAAAGACGGUCUUGCUGUCACUUAUAGAUGGAUCCGCGCUGCAUUAGCUAGUUGGUAAGGUAACGGCUUACCAAGGCAACGAUGCAUAGCCGACCUGAGAGGGUGAUCGGCCACACUGGAACUGAGACACGGUCCAGACUCCUACGGGAGGCAGCAGUAGGGAAUCUUCCGCAAUGGGCGAAAGCCUGACGGAGCAACGCCGCGUGAGUGAUGAAGGUCUUCGGAUCGUAAAACUCUGUUAUUAGGGAAGAACAUAUGUGUAAGUAACUGUGCACAUCUUGACGGUACCUAAUCAGAAAGCCACGGCUAACUACGUG
rnacentral:rRNA from 1 species